rnacentral:rRNA from 1 species
UACGAAGGGGGCUAGCGUUGUUCGGAAUUACUGGGCGUAAAGGGCGCGUAGGCGGUGUGUCAAGUCAGGCGUGAAAGCCCCGGGCUCAACCUGGGAACCGCGCUUGAGACUGGCACGCUCGAGUUCGGGAGAGGAUGGUGGAAUUCCCAGUGUAGAGGUGAAAUUCGUAGAUAUCGAGAGGAACACCGGUGGCGAAGGCGGCGAUCUGGACGAUGACUGACGCUGAGACGCGAAAGCGUGGGGAGCAAACAGG